rnacentral:rRNA from 1 species
GUGUCAGCCGCCGCGGUAAUACGGAGGGGGCAAGCGUUGUUCGGAAUUACUGGGCGUAAAGGGCGCGUAGGCGGCCGGUUGCGUCGGAUGUGAAAGCCCUGGGCUCAACCCGGGAAUGGCAUUCGAUACGGGCUGGCUUGAAGUCGGAAGAGGAGAGUGGAAUUCCCAGUGUAGAGGUGAAAUUCGUAGAUAUUGGGAAGAACACCGAUGGCGAAGGCAGCUCUCUGGUCCGACCUUGACGCUGAGGCGCGACAGCGUGGGGAGCAAACAGGAUUAGAAACCCCAGUAGUCC